GCCCUUUCCGUAGGUGAACCUGCGGAAGGAUCA
rnacentral:rRNA from 1 species